AUUAAACUUUAACUACAGGAAC
rnacentral:tRNA from 1 species